GACGAAGGGGGCUAGCGUUGCUCGGAAUCACUGGGCGUAAAGCGCACGUAGGCGGACUCUUAAGUCGGUGGUGAAAUCCUGGAGCUCAACUCCAGAACUGCCUUCGAUACUGAGAGUCUCGAGUCCGGGAGAGGUGAGUGGAACUGCGAGUGUAGAGGUGAAAUUCGUAGAUAUUCGCAAGAACACCAGUGGCGAAGGCGGCUCACUGGCCCGGUACUGACGCUGAGGUGCGAAAGCGUGGGGAGCAAACGGG
rnacentral:rRNA from 1 species